AAGUUGCAAAGAACUUUGAAGAGAGAGUUCAAGAGGACGUGAAAUCGCUUAGAAGGAAGCGGAUAGAGCCGAUGAUAGUCGCUAGUAUUCAGGUGGCCUGCUGGUGCGCACCGGUGCUUUCGGAUCGCAAGACCUGUCUGUGCCGAUGUCGUAUUACUGGCCACUGCAUUUGCUAGCGAUGUGCACUUGGCGCGGUGAGUGAGCGUUUCGACCCUAUAGACUGCUGGUACCAUCUUCGGACGGCACCCAUCUACUGGCGACACUCGUCUCAGCUACCGUUGGCAAAUCUGACGCUCGCCUUUGGUGCUUGUGUGCGCUUGUGCAGCGGUAACUUGGCGAAGAGUGCUUGCGCUCCAGUCUCGUCUACUGUACGCAGGGUGUACAUCUUGCGCUAGCGUUAGCCAGGUGUUAAAGUUGGCGACCUAUCCGACCCGUCUUGAAACACGGACCAAGGAGUCUAACAUGUGCGCGAGUCAUUGGGUGGUUGAAAACCUAAAGGCGAAGUGAAAGCAAAGUCUACCUUCCGGUGGAUGAUAUGAGACCGGCGAGCCUCGUGCAAGCCGUGCAUCAUAGUCCCAUUCGAAUGGUUCACCCAUUGAGUGGAGACAGAGCGGACAUGUUGGGACCCGAAAGAUGGUGAACUAUGCCUGAGCAGAACGAAGCCAGAGGAAACUCUGGUGGAAGUUCGAAGCAAUUCUGACGUGCAAAUCGAU
rnacentral:rRNA from 1 species